AAAAGAAGAGAACUGACAUCGGUAUUUUAACAUUUCAAGCAAUAUGCUUGAAAAGAACAUGCUAAUGCACCUGAAAUUUUCAGUAAUUAAUAACAGGCACCAUUAAAACUAUAAAAUGACACUAACAGGAUUUCUUAGCUACUGCUGGUGUCAUCUCAAGAGCCAUGCAGGGGGGUAGAGAUAUAACUUUCUAAAAGUCUGAGAAGAUUAGAGUAUGCUCUCUCUAUUUCGCUAAUAUUUGCAGUUCGGAGGAUGGAGACGGAACAAUUGUCAGGGAGAGUUGCUCCUAAAGAAUUCCAACAUUUGAAUGAUGGGAAAAUCCUAAAGCAUUCCAUUGUUACAACAAAGCAAGGCAUGACAUUACUUUCUCAGUAAAAUAUCCCCCUACGUUAGCUGCAUAGACCCUUUUGCAAGUAACAAGCUACAUUUUUGUAUUAUCAAGAAUAAAAAGGGAAUGUAUUUGUUACAGUCCUUGAAACAAUUAACCCAGAGGGGACAUGUAUGCAUGUUUGUGUAAAAUGUUUAGUCUGUACAGAGCAGAUCAUACUUUGCGAGAUAGGCUUUAAUUGUGUUGUGGUUGCAUUUUAUCCACAACUUUAGUUUUGUUAGAAUUAUGCCAUGUGAAAUGAUUCCACCAGUUCAUUUCCUUUUUCCUACAGUACCAGGGAGGAGGAUGAAUGGGAAAAGGAGGCUGAUGCUAUUGGUAGACUAUAGUUAUCAAGGAGGAGCAUGUGCCAUACCGAGAAGGGAGCUGGAUAAUAUGAUCCCAAAAAGGUUCAAUUUCAGCUGUGAUGUUUGAUAUGUGGUAGUGCUAGUAAAUCUGUACAGCUGGUAAUGUUUUGGAUGAACUCCUAUAAAACUAUAUACAUUUCAGUAUUUUCUACCAAGGAUAGCCAAAGUGUGGUCUGUGGAGUCAAGUAAAGUCCAGAGAGUUCUAUAAUGCUGUGAGUUCCCUUCAUCUUUAAUAUGGAGAUGUGGCAGCCAAUGAUUACCUGGUCUCAGCAUGAAAUGAACCACUUGAAACUUCUUAUGGCUUGUCAGUGGGGCAUUUGUGAGAGUUACCUACUCUUGAGUAACUCCUCAUGAGGUCGAGUGAGAGCAGUCACACUGUAAUAUGGUUGAGCUGCACAGUGAUUGGGUUAGCAGCUCACUGAGUAAUCAAGUCCCCACUGCUUUACUAGCUGGAGCAUCAGCAGCACACAAACUUCAACCCACAGCCCCUGACAGGCCAGCUGGCUUGAGUUUAAAGCAGCAGUUCCCAACAUUUUCCCUGUAUGGCUUCCUGCGACCCCAGACAGCAUGGAGGAUGCCAUUUUGAAAUGGAGUUGUCCUUGCAGCAUGACCUCAUACGCACUUUAUGUGCAAAGUCAACUGCAGCAUGCAGGACACCAUUUUGCUUUACAAAAUGCCGUCCUCCACACAGUGUGACCUCGCAUACUGGUGUGUGUGAGGUCAUGCUACAUUUUGUAAAAUGGCAUCCUCUGAACACUUGGGAUUGCCGCAACCCUACUUGGGAUCAUGACUCAAAGUUUGGGAACUGCUGGUUUAAAGUAUCAUUUAACUUGAGCUAAAAUUUGUGUGUGCACAGGGGUCAGGCUAGCGGCAACACUUCAGUUAUAUCUCAAGCUAGAACUGCAGUGAAGACAAGUCCUUAUUCUCAAUGGACCACACUUCUGUAAUGAAGAUGAGAAUCAUUGCAGACUGUUCAAUUUUAUGCCUAAGUAGAUGUUGCCUUUCAGCUUCCGGCAAAUUCUUUAUGUUGCCCUCACUUCGACACAGCAGAGUUGGUAUUGGGGACAGCCACUGUGACCAGAGAGGGGACUAAGUUCUAGUUUAGCUCCCAGGAAGUGUAAAUCAAGAUAUUUUAAAACAAAUAAUUUAUUUUGUUUAAAUUCCAUUUUCUCCAUUUUUAAUAAAUCUUGUUUUUUAUUAAGACUACUGUUUAGGUGUGUCCCAGGAGAAGAGUACUCCACAACUUCUAUGAGGAGGGGUUGGAGGAUAAAAAGUUUCUGGAACCUACAUCCUUGACUCAAUCUUGGUCAAGGAGCAUGGAGAGAGGAGUCCACUCCCAAUGCAUUGUGCUGCCAUCAGGCUGCAUCAAACGAACACACCAGGGGAGAAGCCAGAAGAACAAGAAGGAGGGUAAAUUGGUGGAGGUGUUUGACCUGGGAACAUAGGGUGAAACUUCAAGCAAAAUGAAGCCACAAAUUCUGUUUGGAACGGAUUCCUGCCUAACCCCAACCAAUAAAUUCAAUCCUCCUUUGUAUUCUGAAUACUUCAAUUCAUCCUGGAAAGUAUAUUCCCAGUUAAGUCACACAGCAGCCUUCUCCUUCCCAAUAAGGUCCAUACUGUACCCUUUAGCAUUAUAGCAAUGGAUAGACUGAUCUAGCUUAUGUAAAUCUCACUGAUUACUUGACUGCUCAUUGGUAACAGAUUACAAAUUAGUGACUAAUGAAAGGAAAUAGGAUUUAGGCUCUUUGCUCACUUGGGUGAAUCUGAAAAUUUUACUCUGAUUCUAGGACUGUAUUUUGUUGCCACAUAAGAUUAGAAAAGGAGUUUCUAAUGAAAUUCUUUAAAAAAAUUAAUUUAAACAAAUUUUGCAGGAACUUUUAUGGCAUAUUUUUGUGAAACAUUUUAAAUUAGUAAAAACAUUUAACUUCAUACUGAUAUCAUGGCCUCUAAUUUAUUUUAUAUCGUUUUAAACUUAAAAAAAAAACAGAUGCAUCAAAAACCUUUUCUGAUAUUAUAUUAGAUAAAUUUAAAAGCCUGCUAUAUGUUAUAUGAACAUAUAUAUGCAUAUGUGCAAAAUUAUAUUGUGUGUUUUGUGAAAUGCUCUCUUCAAGUUUUGUUAUGUAGUGAGUCUGCCCAUUUAUGUUGCAUGACAGAGAGUGACUGUGGUGGCUUUUGUAGACCUUUGGUUGCUCAGCUAGCAGCUAUGGCUAAAGGCAUUUUUCCCUAGUACAACCUUUCUGAUUGAACCAGUUUUCCAUAUUUUUGUCUCAUUUUGAGAUUAGACUACUGUAAUAAGAACACUCUACCAUCUGUAAGUUGUAGCUAGUGCAUACCACAUCAAUCCACAUUAAGCAGGACAUCACACAGAAAGCAUAUUAUAUCUAUACAUUUUACUCCUGGGGGAAUUCUGUGCCACUAUGUACGUGCAGAAUUUAUGUCCCUGGCAUAUUUUAUUUUCUCAGCAGAAUACAGAUUCUGCUGAAGAGGUGCUGCACUUACACCUUUCACCCACCAGGGGCUGCUGUGGUGCCAGAAGAGAGGUCAGCCAGCCGGUGGAGAGGCUGCAUUCCUCAGAGCAGGGACAGGUGAGGAGGCACCAGACAGAAUGGAGCACAUGGGGCUGCUGAUAUGGGGUACAGAAGGGCUAGUGGGGGAGGACAGACUGGGGCAUGAGCUCAGGAGCUAAUAGGGUGACAGCAUUGAGCCAGGGGCUGAAUAGGAGGGGGAGGGCUGAAGGGCCCCAUGGGGACAGGGGGUAGGGGGAGGGGUGCAGGGAUUCAUGGGUGUAGGAGGGGGAGAUUUUUGGUAGCACAAAGUCAGUAACAUGCCUAGACCACUGCCCACAGCUGACAUACCAAUUGUUAUGCUCAUUGCUGAAAGCAGCUAGAAAGGCAGUUGCUGAAUCUUUAGCACAACUAACAGACCAGGAUGGGUGGGGGAAGUGAGUGAUGAGGAGUAAACAUGACCCAGUGCCCUCCUGACUUGAGUUUUUGCUGAAGCAUGCAGUUGUGCAAAAUGAAAAAUCUGGCAAUAGUUAACUAUUGCUAUGUGAAAUACAGCUGGUUAACUGAUGGAAAAUUCCCUGCCCAACAGGCUGGAAAACUCCACACUUAACAAGCUAUGUAAUACUAACAAAUUGGGUAUAAAAAGAGGAAGAGAUCUGAGCUCAAUGGACAUUUGAAUACUUGGGAUAUUUUGGGACACCUCUCAAGUUCCCUUGCAGAUGGAAAGCUGGCCACUGGAAGUCUACAGAUAUCCAUUCAAGAUCUUGGCAGUGUCUGUGGGUCCACGCCUGUGCCCUAGAUACCCCAAUGAAGGUAAUUAGAGAGUGGAUGGGCUCACCACCACUACAGUUCCUUCUCAACCAUAAAAGUCCAGUGAAAGACUCUGAGGCAGUGGGAAAGGACAGUGCACCCACAGGGAUACAUCUAGAAGAAUUCCAGUUAAUGUACAAGAGUAACAGAGGUAGAUUGAGCCCCAGUGGAUGAACAGUCACUCUGGAGGGAAGAGAGUGAACGUCUGAGGCUUCUUAACAGAUUAAGGUGUAUUCUGCAACCCAUAUGUACUGCCUUUUGCUGGAAAUCAGAUGUCCUUUCUUUCGUUCUGCAACUGAGAUGAAAAGCCUACAUCAAGUCCUACCUGUUGAGGUAAAAGCAGGUAAAUUGAGAAUGUGUAUCAGAUAAGACUCUAGAGGAGAUGUAGAUGGGUGGCUGCACCAAAUAUGGAAGUAUUUCCACUUCUGCAGGACUGAAGGUUUCAUGAAAGCCUUUAUAUAGCAGUACACAAGGCCAAAGAAUGACUGGGGCAUCUCCUAUUGAGUUGUGGCCGCAUCCUCCGCUCGAGCAGAAACAUAUUGGAUGGAGUUGCAAAGAGAUCUAUCUAUGGAUAAUCCCAGGGUCUAUUUGGGUUUGUACCUGGGGCAGUUAGCAUGGGCCAGCACUCCCACUACCUGUGCUACUGCAGCUACACUACUAUUUUUUGUCCAUCAUAUUGUACUCUGUGAAGGUAAGAAGGGCUCAAGUUGCUGGAAUCUUAGGCAAACAGAAAGGAGGGCUUUAUUUCUGACUAAAAGGCAACCGCCUGUCAACACAGUCCUAAUAAUUCUGAAUCACAUUUGAGCAGCGCUCUUUUCAUUUUAGUUUCUGCUCUUCAGCAGGGAUUGCCUGGAGCAGCAGUUCUCCAUCAGGGGUCUGAGGUCCCCUGGGGGGCUACAAGCAGAUUUCAGGGGAUCUGCCAAGCAAGGCUGGAAUUAGACUCACUGGGGCCCAGGGCAGAAAGCCGAAGCCCCACUGCCCCAAGCCCGGCCACCCUGGCUUGAGCAGCUUAGCUUCAUGGAGCCCCGUGGCCUGGGGUCCCAGGCAAUUGCCCUGUUUGCUACCUCCUAUUGACGGCCCUGACACAGAUGUACCGUGUAGUUUUUAUAGCAUGUUAUGGGGGGGCUCAGAAAGGAAAAGGUUGAGAAUCCCUGGCCUGGAGCAAGCCUACUUGCACCUAUUGAGGCUCUGGGGGAAUGGGCAGACGCAGUGGAGACAGAACAGGAACUGUCUGGGUCUUAUGAAACUUGGACACUCCCCCUUCCUGCCACUGACUAACAGGACUACUUAUACCUCCAAAGCUACUAAUAGGGUGAAGGCCUGCUGCAUGAAAUCAAUAUGAGGAUCUGUGGAUCUGAGUAUGAAAGAGAAAGACUUAACAGCAGAGCAAACAUCCAGUAAUGACUGAAACAGAAUCCUUGAGGCAUGGCCAUGUGGUUUAAGGAGAUACUACAAGUAAGCAAGAAUCACAUUUAAGAGGGCUGGGAAAAGGUACAUCAAAGAGUCCAAGGGGAAGAAGCAUCCGUUUAAGAAAGAAAAAUUAAAGAACCCUGGGAAAAAGGGGUUGGGUAGAAAAAUCUGUGUCGGAGAGGUUACAUGUUUUUUGAAGGAGGGAGAAGGACAGGAGUGAUAUUAUAUGGGGAGAUCUUGGUGGAUCAGUAAAUUGUCUCGAUCACUACCGGUAGUAGCUGGCAUAUCGAUUAUCAUGCUUAUCGCCAAAAACAGUCCAGUCAAUAGGCCUUUAGUGGGCCUUAGCAGCAGCCUUAGCACAAGGAAGGAAGCUUAUAUUUGUCCUCUGGGAUGUGUUCUUCAGGACCUUCAAGCAUAUGGACUUCACAAAAACACAUCUAUCUAAUUAAUGGUCUCGGGAAACUCCUUGCUUAACCUUUGAAAUUGCUUACUUGACCAGGUUUUUUUUAUUGUUAUGUUAUUGUCAUACUAACACAAUAAAUAAGGAGGGAGAAGUUUGGGCUAGUUGGAUCACCUCAUGGAGGCAUCUGAGGGUCCCCAAUGGCAGGCAGAAGAAAUGCCAUCGGAUGUCUGUCGCUAUACCACUCGAAAAUCGCUCCAGACUUUGGUAAUUGAGGAUGGCCAUGUUUUUACUACCCUGUUGUAUAUGUGUGUAAGUGCUUGAGACUAAAUACAGUGUAGCUUUAAGUAAGAGCACUCUUGUAUUAUACUGCUUGUGUCAAUCAUCUAUCAGUUGAAUAGUCAUGUCCCCAUUGAUUUAUUUCCUGCCACUGCCUUGCCAAGAGUAAAAGUUACCAAGAGCUUUAUGUUCAGAAAACCCCAGGUAACAAUAUGGCUAUGUAUGAGAGAGAUUUUAAUGAAUUUGCAUUCCAGUCAGACUUAAUCCAUGUAAUUGCCUGUGCUACUCAAUUUGAGACUACAUUUACUAAAAUAUAUUUUUACAAUCUUCAGA